rnacentral:lncRNA from 1 species
UUGAUAGUUGAUUUUCUUAAAUUCUAUCAAAUUGGUAAAUGAACUUCGAAGAGGAUUAAACUUUGUUUUCUUAAAUCAAUAAAGUAGAAUUGGGUUUUAUUUAGAUAAAUGUUCCACGAUAAAUUCUUAAUUUGUUGUUUGAGCAUGUAUUUCUAUAUGUGCCUGCGUCGCAUGUAAGGUUCGCGAGCAGGAUAAUAGUUUGUUUAAAUUUGACUGCGUCGCAUGUGUUAGACCCUUAACUUUUGUCAUCGGGCGUGGGCACGGCAUUGGCAAGGAUUGUGGCGUGAUGGCCUUGUCCUUGGCCUAUGUGCGGGCGAAAACUAUCAUGCGGGUCGACGGGCUGGAAUGGGCAAGCUAGGCCAAGACCUUGCGGCGGACAAGGUUUGCUUGGAAAGGGCUUGACAAGGCAGCAUCGGCAAAAUGGGGCGGCAUGGCACGGCAUGCGCGCCAAAGACNNN